rnacentral:rRNA from 1 species
GACGAACGCUGGCGGCGUGCUUAACACAUGCAAGUCGAACGGAAAGGCCCUGCUUGCAGGGUACUCGAGUGGCGAACGGGUGAGUAACACGUGGGUGAUCUGCCCUGCACUUCGGGAUAAGCCUGGGAAACUGGGUCUAAUACCGGAUAGGAGCCAUUUUUAGUGUGAUGGUUGGAAAGUUUUUUCGGUGUAGGAUGAGCUCGCGGCCUAUCAGCUUGUUGGUGGGGUAAUGGCCUACCAAGGCGGCGACGGGUAGCCGGCCUGAGAGGGUGGACGGCCACAUUGGGACUGAGAGACGGCCCAGACACCUACGGGAGGCAGAAGUGGGGAAUAUUGCACAAUGGGCGCAAGACUGAUGCAGAGACGCCGCGUGGGGGAUGACGGCCUUCGGGUUGUAAAAUCCUUUCGCUAGGGACGAAGCUUUUUGUGACGGUACCUAGAUAAGAAGCACCGGCUAACUACGUG